UACGUAGGGUGCAGGCGUUAAUCGGAAUUACUGGGCGUAAAGCGUGCGCAGGCGGUUUGCUAAGACAGGUGUGAAAUCCCCGGGCUUAACCUGGGAACUGCGCUUGUUACUGGCAAGCUGGAGUGUGGCAGAGGGGGGUGGAAUUCCACGUGUAGCAGUGAAAUGCGUAGAUAUCUGGAGGAAUACCGGUGGCGAAGGCGGCAUCCUGGACCGGCAUUGACGCUGAUGAGCGAAAGCUAGGGGAGCAAACGGG
rnacentral:rRNA from 1 species